rnacentral:rRNA from 1 species
CCUUUAAUCCACCCACCCCUGUGAACCAACCGCGUGAAGGCGCUCUGUGAUGGAGCCGUCUUCGUGCCUUUUAUCAUAAACACCGCAUGUCUUCAGAAUGUAAAUCUAUUGCCUUCGUCUUAAAAACGCGUCGGUAAAAAAAUGUAAUACAACUUUCAACAACGGAUCUCUUGGCUCUAGCAUCGAUGAAGAACGCAGCGAAAUGCGAUAAGUAAUGUGAAUUGCAGAUUUUCAGUGAAUCAUCGAAUCUUUGAACGCACCUUGCGCUCCCUGGUAUUCCGGGGAGCAUGCCUGUUUGAGUGUCAUUAAAUUCUCAACCCCGAUCGGAUUUGUUUUCGAUUCGGAGGCUUGGAUCGUGGAGCGUGCUGGCCCCCUACCAUGGGUCGGCUCCUCUCAAAUGCAUUCGCGGAAUUGACUUUGGUCCGUUUCGGUCAUCGGUGUGAUAAAUGUUGCGCCGUUGGCUAGGAUCGAGGUGCCGCAUACAAUGGUCUUCGGACAACCCUUUAAGCAUUUGACCUCAAAUCAGGUAGGACUACCCGCUGAACUUAAGCAUAUCAAUAAGCGGAGGAAAAGAAACUAACAAGGAUUCCCCUAGUAACUGCGAGUGAAGCGGGAAAAGCUCAAAUUUAAAAUCUGGCGGUUCUGCCGUCCGAGUUGUAAUCUGGAGAAGCGUUUUCCGCGUCGGACCGUGUACAAGUCUUCUGGAACGGAGCGUCAUAGAGGGUGAGAAUCCCGUCUCUGACACGGACUACCGAUGCUUUUGUGAUGCGCUCUCGAAGAGU